UACGGAGGGUGCAAGCGUUAUCCGGAUUCACUGGGUUUAAAGGGUGCGUAGGCGGGCAGGUAAGUCAGUGGUGGAAUCCUUGAGCUUAACUCGAGAACUGCCAUUGAUACUAUCUGUCUUGAAUAUUGUGGAGGUAAGCGGAAUAUGUCAUGUAGCGGUGAAAUGCUUAGAUAUGACAUAGAACACCUAUUGCGAAGGCAGCUUACUACGCAUAUAUUGACGCUGAGGCACGAAAGCGUGGGGAUCAAACAGG
rnacentral:rRNA from 1 species